rnacentral:lncRNA from 1 species
ACUUAGUAACUAAUAGCAAGAUAUCUUGAUUGAGGAAAGAGAAAGUGCAAGAAUAGCUUUAUGCCUUCAAGAAUGAUACCACAAUCAAAUAAUAUCAAAUAUAUAAAUUAAAAAUUCUCUGAUUAGAUGAAUCAUACAUGUCCAUAUAUUGCAUACUCAAAUCACCAUGGAUCUGAGUCUGAAUGAUGUCUUCAACUACUUCUGCAAACAAAAGUAAAAACUCCACAUUUCCUUUUUCAACACUAAGAGUGCAGGACUAACAGUAAUUCUGCAAUCAGUAUGUGUAGUUAUCAUAAAUAACAUCUUACGUCUCUUUGCAUAUACAACUUAACCAAGAACCUAUUAAUAAGAAAACUUGAACUUAGAGGCAUCUAAAUUUCUACUUGGAACCAAUAGUCACAUAAGAGAGGAAUUCGAAUUAUGAAUUAAUCUGCUGUGCUUGCUUGUUAUGCGACUAAUAAAUUCAAUUCCAAACACAAGAAGUUACUCUGAGCUUCCAACCAACAAACUCAUGAAAAUCAUUGAUUCUUAAAUUACUAUUAAAUGUUAUGCUAUAUUUAAUGAAACUUUGUAUACUAAAUAUAUAAUUAUUGCACAUAAGUUGAUCCAAUAUUGUUCCUACUGAAGAAAGAAAGAGUACAGAUGCAUACUUGAGAGAGGAGAAAAAAAGAAGCCCUAAACCAGCCAUAAAAUUUCUCUCUUCAGUGGCUCAACGAUUCCUCCGUCUUCCGCCACAAUAUAAUGGUCUUCAGUCACAGGAAUUAACCCCAAACAGAUGUUAACCCCAAAAGUUUUGAUGGUCCACAUGAUAAUGACAAUAUUAUGAGAUUUAUCAAGCCUAACAUUAUUUUCUGUUUGCUACGCAGUAAAAGAAAAAAAUGGACAGAAAUGGUAAAGUCGUAUGAUUCGAUUGAAGACUUGGCUACUCUUCGCGGAAGAAAGAAGUUGUCAUCAGUUUGUUGCCAUUUAGAAUUUUACCCCAUACAAGUUUAUGUUCAGACAAAUUUUGAAAAAAAGAAAAAUAAACAAAAAUACUCUGGCUUAAGCAUAUUCAACAACAAUACUCUGGCUUAAACAAAAAUACUCUCAGAACAACAACAACAACAACAACAAAAAAAAAGAAAAAAGAACAUAAACAUAUUCAAUCUAUAAACAAAAAUCAUGGAAAUCGAAAUAAAAUGCCUAAUAAUGAUCCAAAAACCAAACAAAGCUCAAAUUAAGCAUAUCAGUAAAUCAAAGAAAAGGGUAAUAAAUUUUCAUUCUAAAAAUCAUGGAAAAAAGGAUAAAACCUUUCGGUGUUUGGAGACUCUGGCUUUCUCAUUCAUGGUCGGUUGCACUUCAAUCUUUUUUGCUCUCUAAUAGCGACUGUGUAUGCUACGCUAUCAGCGGGAGAGAUGACUGUGAUGUAUGAAAUUACUUUAGUAGAUUAGGGGCUGGGUAUGAGAUUUAGGGCUUAGUAUGAAAACAACAGACAUAUUUAGGAUCGAUAAUUGAAAGAGAGAUAGAAGACAAACCUUCACGGUCUGAUUUGGGGCGCGACGGCUUUGGGGCCAAAAUUAGGGCUUUGAGAUUUGGGGCGAGUGAGGGAGCGAAGCCAGUGAGCACCUAAGAUCGAUCGUGAGCUGAUAAUACUGAAAAUAUCACAUGACUUAGUACACAAAUUCUAGCAGCCUUUUUAUAAUUUUUGGGGUUAUAUUGUGCAACAUUUAGCUGAUAAUACUGAAAAUAAGAAAAAAUGAAAUUGCAAAUUAUAAUACCUAGAAGAAGAAGAAGAGCACUCAGUCUCUCAGUAUUCCUCAUAUCCUUCCCGGUGUAUAGCAGUUGUUGUCGCUGCAGUGGCACUUGCGUCUACGUAUUACAUAAAACAAACACCGUAAAUCUGGAGACUAAAAUAGAAGAAAUUAAAACCCUAAGUCGAGAAAGAAGUGCACAGACCUGUCCAGUAGCCACAAUAACACACACAAUAACAGUAGCUAUUAGACAAUAUUUUUUGCUGACAAUACCAGGUAUGAAAGAACAACAAACUACUUGAUUUUUUUUAACACGAAAAUUCCAUCGGAAUUAAUCCUAUUUAGAUUUUUUCAUAACUGAUCUUUGCAGGACACCAUGGCCAAAAUCCGAACGCUUCGCCCAAAUCAAUUUUAGGAUCAAUUAUUCUCAUGUUUGGUACCUUUUAGUCGCACAUCUUUUAUGGAUCUAAACUAUAGAAGUACCUUGUUAUCUCAGAAGUCAAAAUAUAUAGAUAUUGAUGCAUAUGAACAUUACGACAUAAUCUUUGUUAAACUUUGUGGAUAUCAGUAGGGUAGUUACUAACAUGAAUAUGCUUGCAGACACUCUUUGUUAUAUAUAUUUGAAAACUUUUCAAUUUAACCAAUAAUAAACUAAGGAGGCUGGAGGUCUACCAAAUGAUUUCUUUCUUAAUCCUUGGUAGGUUUGGGAAGCUGGAUUUGCUGCUGCCUUGCUGAAAAAACGUAGCUCUGCGAUAUAUCCUUUAGUUGAGGCUGGGGAAGGAAAUGGAUUAGAAAGUGGAAUGCCUGUGUCAAAUAUGGGACAAAAGGAACCUCUGUUGGUUGAGGUCUUCCUUCUGCCACUAUUGGAGAAGCUCUUCUCAACUUGCCUGAUUUAAAUCAGUAAGGCUUUCCAUGCAUCUCCUUUUCUAACUUCCAAUAAAUGCCUUCUACUAAACUGUUUGUGAAGCGAAUCACGGGUAACAGUAUUUCUUAUGUUUUACAGGAGGUUGACGAAGAUCAUCUUUGGUCUCUCAAAGAAUCAGCCUCGAUAUUUUUUAUGGGUUAUAAACACAUGUAAUGUGAUCAAGUUCAUGGCUUCAAUACUUAUUUCAAGGCUCAUAAUUCCAUAAGAAUAAAUUAUCGGCUCUUUUUUGGGUUCAUUACAUUUGGUUCUAUUCACAUGUUGAAAGUUAACUCUAGUGAAUCAAUGAAACAAAGGAUUAUGAUGACUAAUCAACUUCGAAGACUAAUCAAAUAUCAAUGCAUAAACAAAUUAUUCAGAUCGAUGUUCAUCUGAAACUCCAAACGAUAACAGAAACAGAAAGUUAUCUAUAUAUGUGCCUGUAUUGUAGUGAGUAAUACAACGAAAACAUUAUAUUUUAUUGGUUUAGAUCAGUCUUUCCCUUUUUAUGUUCAUUUAUUCCUCUGUUCUUUUUGUUCUCAAAGAUUGUCUCUUGAUUGCACUCGUGACUUGUAUCUUCUAUCUUAGGAAGAUUGGUGGUCUUUAAGAAAGCUUAUCUAAUUUAACACUUGGACAAUAAAAAAAACAUUGCAGCACAGGAAUGUUCUUUUGGUUGGGAGGUAUUCUUUCUUCUUACAUUACAUUGGGAUGACCACAUUAAUGAAUUUGAGUUGGUCAAUAGAUACAGUGUUGGAUAAUUGAAAUUUAAAUUCAUGUGUUCCUUGUUGCUAGGAGGACAAGGCAAGAAGAAUAUUACUUGUACUUGUGCAAUUAUUCGUUCUCAAUUACCGUGCUGAUCAACUGUUAUGAAUAUCUGGAUCGAAUAACUAUAUUUAAUGAAGUACUUGAAUUUUGAGCGUCAGUAUUGAUCAACUUAGUUCCACUAAGAUGUAUUUAGCUUGUGCAGAGGCUACUAUAAAUGUAGCAGCAUGAGAGGCUGCCCUGCAAGGAAACAUGUGGAGAGGUGCUUGGAAGAUCCUUCUAUGCUUAUUGUCACUUAUGAAGGCGAGCAUAACCACCCAAGGAUACCAGUCCAAUCAACAACCACAUGAAACAUCAUGCAAAACUUGUACAUAUUUGGUGCAGUUUAAGCUUGGGGGGCAGAUGGUGCAAAUUACUGGUUUCAGAGAAUUACCGUACAAACGCCAAAGCAUUCAAAUGUUGGGCAGGCAGACAGGAUACCAAGGGGCAAGUUAAAGAAUUCUGUAGAAUUGGUGGUUCCUGAUUGUGUAAGAAUCUUCUCAAAUGACCAGUCAAUUUGGGUUUUAACUUUUCCAAUAGUUUAAAGAUUUUUGUUGAAAACCAUUUUCUUAUUAUGGCAGCUUUAGUUUUGAUUGGGUAGAAAUUAUCUAGGCUUUUGGCGGUGUUUGCUAAAUCUCUUACCUUAUAUUAUUGCAGCAGUAGCUCUAGUUAUGAGAAUCUCUCCGGUGGUUGCUUAGAUUCUAGAUUUUUGUUAAAAGACAUUAUUACUUAGAUGUACUUGUUUAGAUUUAUUAAGAGUGUUUUGGUGUGGGGUUUGCUGCAGGUAUUGUGAGUACGAAUGGUUGUAGAAUUUAAUUCAGACGUAAAUAUUCCCCACCAACUCUUUUGAGUGUCCUUAUGGAGAAAGAAUUUCUUAGGUUCCUGCACGUAAUGUGAGCAAAAUGGGCUAUUUUACUUGCUAUUUUUGUUUUAUAAUUCCUUUACUGGCUUGGCUAUCUGAUAGGAAUUUGUUUGAUACUACUAUAGAUUCAGUUGCCUUUGACUCAGCAGUGAUUUAGUAACCUGAAUUAAUUUUCCUGCUGAUUAGGUUUCUAGUAAUUUUCUUCCUUCUCUCUUAUAUAGUGGAACAAAAUUCAAUAAUGGGGAAGUGAUGGUUGAAAUAUAUACAUUGUCAAGAAUUGCUACUUUAUUCUGGACCAUAGAAUUGGCUCAACAACACAAUAAAAUAAUCUUAUUAAUUUUUUUGACAUUUUCUUUUACUUGUAUAUCUAUUUUUGCUUACAGUUCCGAGAGAUAGUCUAAAUAGAACCAAAUACAACAAUUCAGCUCAUCUGAACUGAGCCUUAAAUUUUAAUGGAGAAGUUGAAAAAUCUAAGUUUUCAUAUGUUUUUUGUAUGAGUUAUCAAAUACAGAUCAAAAAGAGAAAUUCCUCACUUAUCGUUAUUGUUUGCAAUUUGAAGACUAAAACCCCAAGAAAUAUAAAAAUCAUAAAUUAGCAGAAAUUCUAACACUGAAAUUCUGAAAUUAAGACCAUUCCGAACAGAAAUACCUAAAAAUUAAAUCAAAUUGUAAAAAUUUUGUAUAAUAAUCAAAACAAAAAACAAAAGGCUACCUUGGGCGAAAGAUGAAGCCGAUGCAGGAAGAGGAGGGGUCAGUGGAACUUCGACGCCUUGGAUCGUAUAUUUGGGGCUGGGUAUGAGAUUAGGGGCUGGGUUGAGAGGGAUCGAGGGUUUGAACUGAGAGCGCGAUAGAGGGUUUGAUGUGUGUGCAUAAGAACAGAGAGCGAGAGAGAUCUGUUUGAAAGAGAACGGCUGACGUGAAUCGGAUAGAUCUUCGUUUUCUCUCUUCAGCUUCUUCUGCUUCGUGUUUGAGUUUUAAGGGAAUAAGGGGGAAUGAGAGAGCUCUGCGUGUGUGAUAGAAGAGAGAAAGACGGAAGAUUUGAAAUUUGAAUAAAAGGGGAUGAGAGAGAGCUGUUGACGUCAACUUACUUAGAUGUGACGUUUGUCUUUUUUUCUCUCUCUGCUCUCCUUUAUAUUAUAGAUUCUAAAACAUCCUUUUGAUAGAAA